rnacentral:misc_RNA from 1 species
AAUACAUUCAAGGUAACACCAUUUAAUUAAGAAUAAGGCACCCAUUCUUCAAAAUCAAGAGUCAGAUUUCUAGACAUUAUGACACCAAAAAGAGCAUCCAGUUUAGCCUAAAAAUGACAAACAGAAUAAAAUACCUCAUUCUUGCAAGUACAGAGCACAUUACACAAUGUUCUAAGAUUCAAGCAUGAGCUCAAGAACACAAGCUUACAAAAAACCAUUACUAUAUAAGUUAAUUGCCAUUAAUGGCUUUUAGAAAAUGCUAUCUUUCUAGGAGAAGGCGACUCAAAUAGAUAGCUCGGUUCGAGAAAUAAGGAUCCCAUCAGUGUCAGCAUAAAGCCAUUCACCAUCACUGAUUCUUGUCCCUCCAAUGGUUAUCGGUACAUGUUUCUCCCCGAUCCCCUUCUUAUUGGCUUUCAUA